rnacentral:rRNA from 1 species
UACGAAGGGGGGCUAGCGUUGCUCGGAUUGACUGGGCGUAAAGGGCGCGUAGGCGGUUCGUACAGUCAGACGUGAAAUUCCUGGGCUCAACCUGGGGGCUGCGUUUGAUACGUGCGGACUUGAGUGUGGAAGAGGGUCGUGGAAUUCCCAGUGUAGAGGUGAAAUUCGUAGAUAUUGGGAAGAACACCGGUGGCGAAGGCGGCCAUCUGGACCGCAACUGACGCUGAGGCGCGAAAGCGUGGGGAGCAAACAGG